rnacentral:rRNA from 1 species
UCGACGGUGAUCUCGGUGCUUGCACCGGGUGAUCAGUGGCGAACCGGUGAGUAACACGUGAGCAACCUGCCCCCGACCCUGGGAUAACCCCGAGAAAUCGGAGCUAAUACCGGAUACGAGACGCACAGGCAUCUGUAGCGUCUGGAAAGAUUCAUCGGUCAGGGAUGGGCUCGCGGCCUAUCAGCUAGUUGGUGAGGUAGUGGCUCACCAAGGCGACGACGGGUAGCCGGCCUGAGAGGGCGACCGGCCACACUGGGACUGAGACACGGCCCAGACUCCUACGGGAGGCAGCAGUGGGGAAUAUUGCACAAUGGGCGCAAGCCUGAUGCAGCGACGCCGCGUGGGGGAUGAAGGCCUUCGGGUUGUAAACCCCUUUCAGCAGGGAAGAAGCGAAAGUGACGGUACCUGCAGAAGAAGCGCCGGCUAACUACGUGCCAGCAGCCGCGGUAAUACGUAGGGCGCAAGCGUUGUCCGGAUUUAUUGGGCGUAAAGAGCUCGUAGGCGGUUUGUCGCGUCUGCUGUGAAAACCCGAGGCUCAACCUCGGGCCUGCAGUGGGUACGGGCAGACUAGAGUGCGGUAGGGGAGACUGGAAUUCCUGGUGUAGCGGUGGAAUGCGCAGAUAUCAGGAGGAACACCGAUGGCGAAGGCAGGUCUCUGGGCCGCAACUGACGCUGAGGAGCGAAAGCAUGGGGAGCGAACAGGAUUAGAUACCCUGGUAGUCCAUGCCGUAAACGUUGGGCACUAGGUGUGGGGCUCAUUCCACGAGUUCCGUGCCGCAGCAAACGCAUUAAGUGCCCCGC